UGCCUAACACAUGCAAGUCGAACGCGGUUAUCCCGCAAGGGAUGACUGAGUGGCGAACGGGUGAGUAACACGUGGGUGACCUACCUUCGAGUGGGGGAUAACGUCCCGAAAGGGACGCUAAUACCGCAUAACAUCCUGCUCUUGAACGAGCGGAGAUCAAAGCCGAGGAUCGCAAGACCUGGCGCUUGUUGAGGGGCCCGCGUCUGAUUAGCUAGUUGGUGAGGUAACGGCUCACCAAGGCGACGAUCAGUAUCCGGCCUGAGAGGGCGGACGGACACACUGGGACUGAGACACGGCCCAGACUCCUACGGGAGGCAGCAGUGGGGAAUUGUUCGCAAUGGGCGCAAGCCUGACGACGCAACGCCGCGUGGAGGAUGAAGGUCUUCGGAUUGUAAACUCC
rnacentral:rRNA from 1 species